GGAGGACGCAGCUCGGACCAGCUGAACCUCUAGUUGGUUUUAUACCGAGUCGACGUCAUCCUGGAUUUAGUUCCUGACACCUAAGGUCUGGAAACGACCGUACAAUCCCUACCUUAGGGGAUCCUAGUAACACAGCGAAGACCAAGUUCAGCCACUAUUUAAAAUUCACCACCUGAGUAGCACCCUGAGUGUCGCCCGCUCACUUGGGCUGCCCUUCCCGCUGGCAGACCCAGGCUGGGCUCCCCGGCCGGGCAAAGGCAGCCGGGCUCCCCGCAGGCAGCCGCCGAGAUUUGCAGGAUCCUUCUUGCUGUGCAACCGGUGGGCAGCGAACCCAGCACUGCGCCAAGGCCGCCGCGCACCCUGGAGCAGGUCUGGCCCAGCCAGAAGACUGGAGUAGCAGUGAGGGACCAGCACCAGGGCGAGAAGAUGUCUGGCCUCAACAUGGCUUAGCCACCUCUGCUUCCCACAGUGGCCAUGCCACCUGGACUGCCCUGUCCAUCAGCCUGGAUUGUCUGAGGCCAGCAGAAGCCUGGAGAGGAGCUGGGACAGGUGCCCAGCCCUGCCACAACUCCAUCGGACUUUGGGAUCCAGAAUCAGGCGGCCCCACAUUCCACUUCCUUACAGCAGCCCAGGAAACCCACAGCCCUGCUGCUGUAAUGACUGCACCUGCCCUCCCUCCCUUCUUCCUCCCUCCCUCCCUUCUUCCUCCCUCCCUUCCUUCCUUCCGAGGACCGAACCCAUAGCAAGCACUGUAUCACUGAGCUGCACUCCCAGCCUUUUCAAAAUUUUUCUUUUUGAGACAGGGUCUCAUUCGGUUGCCCAGGCUGGCCUGGAAUUUGCCAUCCUCCUGCCUCAGCCUCCUGAAUCCUGGGGUUACAGGUGUGCACGCUCAGGCCCCACUUUGGUUUAAAAACUUUUACAGGGAAGUGUCAGAGGACAUUCCUUUAACUGCCAACAAGGAUGUAUCUUCUAGUCAAGACUGUCCUGUCAGAUAAGAUUGGCAAAUACAAUACCAUUAAGACCUUUGUUCAUCAAAUUCGCCUUCACCAAAGGAACCGUAAACUGAGCAGACAGCAGCAACACUGCAACAAAAGAUUACAACAUGCUACAGAAACAACCCUGUAAUCCAAACAGAGAAAAACAAACAAUCCUGUAAAACAAUUUUGAUACAAAAAGGGAUCCUCCCCACUGGGCAUAGUGGCCUGUAAACUUAGUACUCUGGGAGGCUGAGGCAGGAGGAUCCCAAGUUCCAGAGCAGCCCAAGUAACUACCCAGCCUGAGUAGCAGCCUAGUGACUUAGUGAGAUUGUGUCUCAAAAUAAAAAUGUUUUGUUCUAGGCUAGAGAUAAAAAUAUACAUGUGGCCCAAGAGUCUGGGCUGUGCUGGAGCUUCACGGCAGGGCAUUUGUCUGCUGUGUCCAAGGCCCGUCAGUGCCCAGCACUGAAAAAUUUAAGAAAGAAUGAGUUGGAAAGAGAAAGAGAAGAGGAGGGAAAAGAAAGGAAAAGAUCGCAGCGCCUGUGAGGAAGGCUCUGGGGCCAGAGGUGGGGGCUCAGGAGGACGGGGAGGCACAGACCCAGGGAAUGGGGGGAGGAUCACUCGAGAUAAGAAC
ensembl:lincRNA